GAGGAAACCAGCGCCAUGUGGAACGCACGCCGCGAUGUGUGCAGUAAUUACACACACCGCAGCCGGAAGGACCAUAUCCCCAGCACGAUCUAGACAUCAGAUGACCGGGAAUCUGGGAACCUCGCGAAUGUCCAUCAGCGAACACCAUACGUCUGAAUCAUUCCUGGCAACCGGCAAUUCAUUUACUUCACUGCAUUUUGAGUUCCUGCUGGGCGUCUCAACCAUUUCCAGGAUUGUUCGUCAAACGUGUCAUUUAUUUGGCAGCAACUUCAGGACACGUUGAUGCUAGAGCCCCCAAGGUCAUAUUGUCAAGAUGAGAAGUGUACGUAGCAAACCAUGGACGUCCUUGAAAUCCCAGAAAUGGCUCAAUAUAUUAUAAUGUUUAAAUGUACAAGUGUAUGUGCUAAUAAAAUGUAUGUGUAAUGAAAAGUCUCAUACAAUGUUUUACUGUAAUAUACUUAUGUUGAAUAAACACAGUAGCCAAUAAAGGAUUUAGUGU